rnacentral:lncRNA from 1 species
GCAGGUUCUAUUGAUAAAGGCAUAAAUUUACAAUUGUAUUGAUAAACUUUGGUUUACAAAAGUCCUAGCCUAUGAUCUAAGGACAUGCUGGCAUUACAAGAGAAAUUAUUCAAGCAUUGGAAUAGCAUAGCAGCUAAACAAUACAACUCAUUGCACUCUCUUCUUCAAGUAAUUCCAAGAAUUUACGAGACAUGUCCCGAUAAGCAUACCGCAACCUGCACAAUCCAAAAGCCUAUCACAUAAGUGAAAGAAAAGCCAAGAACACUACAAUCAUCAUGAAUGGAGCGGAGCAUACACCUAGACUGAACCUACAGUUGAAGACAAAGCUUAAAAAUGUACAUGGUUAUUACAAUCUCAUGGUAUUCAAACCUGAUUUUCCUGCAACAACAGAGUUGUGUUUCGAAUUCACGAGCCACAGCGAUUCGGCCACCAUGUCGUACUUUGCUUUGUCCAGCAGGCACAAACCUGCAUAAUUAGAAGAUCGCAUCACACGAACCACAGUGAGAAAUGCUAGAACCAGCACAUAAGUGUGUUGUCUGAGCUCCUUUACCUAAUUAAACAAGAAUUGGUAAACUUUACAGUGAGUGCUACAAUGGUUGACAAAACAAAGCCAAAACCAGACUCAUCGGCACAUUACAAAUGUAAGUCGAUUACAUUGUCGUUGGGACAAUACAUAUCACCUCAUUAAAACGAAAGCUAAGACUACAAAGUACAUGUACCUGCAUCACAAGUUUUCACAAGAUUACAAAGUACAUCAGUGAAAAGCAAAGCCAGCGAGGUUGAAUCAAAUUCAUAACAGCUCAAACGGCUAUAGAGUUAAAUAUCAUCACCAUCCAAGUCAUAGACUUGCAGCAUAAUCCAGGCUACAUCACCACCCAAGCCAUGACAUUCACCUGCAAUCAACUCACAAAACCAUGAGAACCGUGACUCGUAAUCACAUAGGAAGAAGGUGAGGCCUACGUAAGGGCCAAGACAUAACGAGUGUCGCAAGCUUCCGUAAUAAAGUUUAAGAUGAACAUACCAUGAUUUAGAAAACCUGGUCUAUAAACAAAGACCUGCCACAAGAUUGCAGCACAAGACCUGCAGCCUACACAUAGAAAUAUUGCUCAGGAUCCCACCUUUCACUCAUGACAUACCUGUUACAACAGAAAUGGAGAAAUCAACAUAACUUGAGCUGUUUAUUCCAAAAACACAAGACCAAACAUAAAAAAAAACAUGAAUAUGCAAGUUACCUUAAAUAAGUCCCAAAACCCCUGUUUAAGGUUGGAUCUAGAGUAAGCCUCAAGGACGAUUGUUGCAUGACAUUUGAUUACGGUGUGCUUAAGGUUGAAUCCAUGCGGAUAUUUCUCCAGGACCAUUCUCAUUCAUUCUAAACCCCACAAGUCACUUGCCAAUCCAAGGUUACAACUUAAGCGA